GAAGUCAGGAAUCCUGGCAGCUACUGGGGAUUCAGCAGUGAACCAGCUAAGUGUAUUUCCUGCCCUCAAGGGUCUCCCUGUGUAAUCCAGGUUGGCCUCCUACUGACAGCAGUCCUCCUGCCUCAUCCUCCCUUGAGUGCUGGCCGAGGUCUACAGCCAACCUCUGAGGCGUCCGAGGCGACCACCACUCCACCAUGAGCUCCAUCUGACAGGAGGAAAUCGGAGGCGAGGACACAGAGUAAUUCGCCAGCGGCCUUGCAGUGCGCAGCCGGAGGUCUCCGCAGUGAGGCUGCGUGACUGCGCCCAUCCUCCGGCCACGCUUUCGCGGCUGUAACCGUAUGAACUCGAGUCAGG